CCUACUGGAGGCUGCAGUGGGGAAUAUUGGACAAUGGGGGGAACCCUGAUCCAGCGACGCCGCGUGAGUGAAGCAGUAUUUCGGUAUGUAAAGCUCUAUCAGCAGGGCAGAACGAAAUGACGGUACCUGCCUAAGCAGCCCCGGCUAACUACGGGCCAGCAGCCGCGGUAAUACGUAGGGGGCAAGCGUUCUCCGGAUUUACUGGUUGUAAAGGGAGCGUAGACGGCGAUGAAAGUCUGAAGUGAAAGGCGGGGGCCCAACCCCCGGACUGCUUUGGAAACUGUAUGGCUGGAGUGCAGGAGAGGUAAGUGGAAUUCCUAGUGUAGCGGUGAAAUGUGUAGAUAGUAGGAGGAACACCAGUGGCGAAGGCGGCUUACUGGACUGUAACUGACGUUGAGGCUCGAAAGCGAGGGGAGCAAACAGGAUUAGAUACCCUGGUAGUC
rnacentral:rRNA from 1 species